GUACUCGCUUUGGCGGUACAUAUACUAAAAUUGGAACGAUACAGAGAAGAUUAGCAUGGCCCCUGCGCAAGGAUGACACGCAAAAUCGUGAGGCGUUCCAUAUUUUC
rnacentral:snRNA from 1 species